rnacentral:rRNA from 1 species
AUUGAACGCUGGCGGCAUGCCUUACACAUGCAAGUCGAACGGCAGCACGGGAGCUUGCUCCUGGUGGCGAGUGGCGAACGGGUGAGUAAUACAUCGGAACGUACCCAGUAGUGGGGGAUAACGCACCGAAAGGUGCGCUAAUACCGCAUACGACCUACGGGUGAAAGCGGGGGACCGUAAGGCCUCGCGCUAUUGGAGCGGCCGAUGUCUGAUUAGCUAGUUGGCGGGGUAAAAGCCCACCAAGGCGACGAUCAGUAGCUGGUCUGAGAGGAAGAUCAGCCACACUGGGACUGAGACACGGCCCAGACUCCUACGGGAGGCAGCAGUGGGGAAUUUUGGACAAUGGGGGCAACCCUGAUCCAGCAAUGCCGCGUGUGCGAAGAAGGCCUUCGGGUUGUAAAGCACUUUUGUCAGGGAAGAAAUCUUUCAGGCUAAUACCCUUGGAAGGAUGACGGUACCUGAAGAAUAAGCACCGGCUAACUACGUGCCAGCAGCAGCCGCGG